rnacentral:rRNA from 1 species
UACGUAGGGGGCAAGCGUUGUCCGGAUUCAUUGGGCGUAAAGAGCGUGUAGGCGGCCAGGUAGGUCGGUUGUGAAAACUGGAGGCUCAACCUUCAGAGGUCGACCGAAACCAUCUGGCUAGAGUCCGGGAGAGGAGAGUGGAAUUCCUGGUGUAGCGGUGAAAUGCGCAGAUAUCAGGAAGGACACCCGUGGCGAAAGCGGCUCUCUGGAACGGUACUGACGCUGAGACGCGAAAGCGUGGGGAGCGAACAGG